CCUCGGGUGGCCUGGGGAUCCCGCGUUUUGCAAGGUGCCUCCGAACGCCCGCUUCCUUUGGAGCCCCCUGCACCAGACCAGACCUGAACCCCAAGCCAGGUUGGGCCCCGGGUCGCUCCAGGGCGGGGGAGGAGGAAGCCGCGACGCUGCCUGCGGGGCAGAGCGCGGAAUGGAAAGCUCGGGGAGGUCAGUUUCCUCCUCGGCCGGGACUUGGAACUAACAGCGAGAUUCCCGGUAAGAGUAUUCUAGGACAAGGCAAAAUCGAGACUUCAUCGAGGUUACAAGUAUCCCCUUUUACUUAACUACCUACCCCCCACCUCCAAAUAAAAGGAGGCCAAAAUGCGAACUAAAAGUGUCACUUCUGGGUUUUUUGUUUGUUUUUUUGCUUUUUUUAAAACAUGCCUACAAGGACUAACUGAAAGGCCGGUCCGCCUCCACCCCGCCCUCUGCUCACUACUGGACACCACAGUGGAACCUGGGACGCGUUCUCCUCCCCACAUCGGGGUGGAGGUGUGACUCUGGAGCUCGAUCCCGAUUCCCCGAGAAGUCACGGAGCACGUAAAAGGAAUCAGUUCCUUGCGUGGUUCCCCAAGCACGCCAAAGAUGUUUUUCUAGAAAGAAAGGGAAUCGAUGAAUGGCCACAUGACCGGGAUGGCUUCCCACCCUCCCCCUUCCCCAAGGAAAAGAAAGGAACAGCCUUGCAAAGCUUCUACAGGCUGUCUGCAUUCCUUGGUUCCUGGUCCCCUUCCUUCAACUUCAAACCAGCAAUGAACCGGAAACCCAAGUCAAAAAAGGUUAAGUGAUCUGGACAACAUUACACAGCUACUGCCUGGUUGCAGAGUCAGGAUGAAAAUCCAGCAGCGAGGCUGAUCUCCAGCCUGCCCAGGAUACAAAACUGAGGAUGCAGCAUGCUGAUUUUGCCCGUGGCUUUUUUUUUUUUUCAUUGAUAAGGUACUGUUCACCGGUUCAUGUGUCAGCUGAUGAAAGCAGCAAUGACCUUUUCCAACAAUUGGCCUCUGUCUUUACAUUGGCUUUCUGCACUUGACUGGGAGCCAUGAAGAUCACCUUUAGGGCAACUUUCAACCUAUUGCUGUGAAAUGGCAACAGAACAGAAAAUGAACCAGAAGUAAACGGACAUUUGCGGAUACACUGAGGAAUAGAUAUGGGUGCUUUUAGCUUGCAAAUGUGAAAAUGUCACAGGUUGUUUCUGAACAUGUUCCAGCUGGAGGCAAAAUAAUGCUUUGGGGGUAAACAUAUGGGCCACAUGUGCGAAGGCACUGAAAAUUAGGUAUGAAAGUUAUAUAUGCAAAAUUACCACAGAAAUUCCUGCUGUGAUCAUUAUGAAAUUGCCUUGGAGUGUGGGUUUCUGGCUCACCUUCCAAGCUAUCCAAUUCCUUUCAUAAAACCCUUAGGCAAAAUUAUCCCUUCUCUCCUUAGCCUACCUUACUUCAACACAGCACCGUAAAUGUCAUGUCUGUUCCAAGCCCUAUCUGCUAGGACAACUGUGUAAGAAAUGAUUCCUUUCCAGGGGGAAUGGGGAGAAAUAUCAGAGGAUUUGAUUAUAACCUUUAAAAAUCAAUUUUUAAAAAUUGGUACAUUUCAGUGCUUUCUAAGACAGACAUCUUUAAUUGUGCCUAACUGUGUUUGCUUUGGCAGACACAUGUUGACUCUUGCAAUGGGCAGCUUCCAGCCACAUCCGCGUUUAUGGCAAAUAGGUCAGAAUGUAAUUCAUCCCCUUGUCUAUGAAGCGAUCAACAAUUACAAGUUCUUGUUUCCCUCUCAUUCUGUUGCUUUACUUCUUUUCAAAGAAUGACAUAGAAAUUGCCAUGAGAUGGAGAAUAAUCAGUCCUCAGCAGAAAAUAGAAGACCAACUCUUAUAGUUGAGUGGAAGGGUGGCACAUAUAAUGUUUGUUUCAUUUCUCAUGUCCUCUUUGAGUGACGCAAUCUAACACCACAAUUCAAUAUUAUCAAGGAGGUGACAUUUCACAGGACUGACUACUGGCAUGGUGGAUAGAAGGUUCUGUAAGCCAUAUUUGCUGCUGAUGACACUAGCAAUUUGAUGACAUUAAAAAAAGUCAAGUAUUCUUUCCAAAAGGGAUAGGUACCUUUGAAGAAAUAAUAUUGUCUUUUCUUUGAUUUGCAUGCUCCAGUUCAUCCCCAACAGAUACUUGCAGGGAAAAACCUGUACCUGUACUCAAACAAUACACUUCCUGUAAUGUCAGUCCCAGGUGAAGUGAAACCAGCCAGGAAGAACAUGGUAACCUCACUGAUUUUAAUAAAUAAU